GUCUUUUAGUUAUAUAUUUAAAGUCAGGCCUGCCCGGUGAAAUUUACAUGUUUUAACGGCCGCGGUAUAUUGACCGUGCAAAGGUAGCAUAAUCAUUAGUCUUUUAAUAGGGGGCUGGAAUGAAGGGUUUAACGAAACAUAAUCUGUCUCUUUUGUGGGAUAUUGAAUUUAUCUUUUUAGUGAAAAGACUAAAAUUUAAUUGGUGGACGAGAAGACCCUAUAGAGCUUUACAUUAAGUUUAUUUAAUUUUAUGUUGUUUUUAAUUUUAUGGAAUUAAUUUAUUUAUUGUUUUGUUGGGGUGACAAAAAAUAUUUAUUUAACUUUUUUAUUUUAUAUACAUUAAUUUAUGUUUUCUUUGAUCCAAUAGUAUUGAUUAUUAGAAUAAGUUACCUUAGGGAUAACAGCGUAAUCUUUUUUGGAAGUUCAAAUUUACAGGAAGGCUUGCGACCUCGAUGUUGGAUUAAGAUUAUAAUUGGGUGCAGUAGCUUAAUUAAUAGGUCUGUUCGACCUUUAAAUUCUUACAUGAUCUGAGUUCAGACCGG
rnacentral:rRNA from 1 species